rnacentral:tRNA from 2 species
GGGCGCCUAGCUCAGUUGGUUAGAGCGACGAGCUUACACCUCGUAGGUCAGGGGUUCGAAUCCCUUGGCGCCCACCA